UGAGGAAUAUUGGGCAAUGCCCGCAAGGGUGACCCAGCAACGCCGCGUGGAGGAUGAAUGUCGUAAGAUUGUAAACUCCUGUUAGAGGGGAAGAAUAGUACCGGUUGGACCGGUAUAUGACUGUACCCUCAGAGAAAGCCCCGGCUAACUACGUGCCAGCAGCCGCGGUAAUAAGUAGGGGGCAAGCGUUGUCCGGAUUUACUGGGAGUAAAGGGCGCGCAGGCGGGAUAAAAAGUCAGUGGUGAAAUCCUACAGCUUAACUGUAGAACUGCCUUUGNUACUUUUAUUCUUGAGUUCGGGAGAGAGAGACGGGAUUCCAGGUGUAGUGGUGAAAUACGUAGAUAUCUGGAAGAACACCAGUUGCGAAGGCGGUCUCUUGGUCCGACACUGACGCUGAGGCGCGAAAGCUUGGGGAGCAAACA
rnacentral:rRNA from 1 species